rnacentral:rRNA from 1 species
AUUCCAGCUCCAAUAGCGUAUAUUAAAGUUGUUGCAGUUAAAACGCUCGUAGUCGGAUUUCGGGGCCUGCCUGCCGGUCUGCCGAUGGGUAUGCACUGGCAGGCGCGUCCUUCCUUCCGGAGACUGUCCCUACUCUUAACUGAGCGGGGUCGGGAGACGGAUCGUUUACUUUGAAAAAAUCAGAGUGUUUCAAGCAGGCAGCUCGCUCUUGCAUGGAUUAGCAUGGGAUAAUGAAAUAGGACUUUGGUGCUAUUUUGUUGGUUUCGAACACCGAAGUAAUGAUUAACAGGGACAGUUGGGGGUAUUCGUAUUCCAUUGUCAGAGGUGAAAUUCUUGGAUUUACGGAAGACGAACUACUGCGAAAGCAUUUACCAAGGAUGUUUUCAUCA